CUUGACCAAAGGACACAGAACGGGAGAAAAAAGAAACCUGGCGUCGGUGCGCUCACCUCGUCCUUCAUCAGUUCUGCGUGGGAGCCUUGCUGGAUGACGGAGGAUCCGCCCGCCUCGUCUGUUUGACCGAGAACAACAAUCAAAUCUGCUCUUUGAAUCGUGCUCAGCCGAUGUGCAAUGAUAAUCGUGGUCACGCCUGUCGAUUCGAUGAGAGCGUCCAAGGCAGCCUGCGAACGAGAAGAAAAACGGAAGUCGAAAGCGCGUAACGCGCAGAAACAUCCUCAGAAAAUCUCUCUCAAACACGAUCAUGUAUCCAGUACCGUUCUGUGGGUCCACCACGCGUUCAACCGCUGUCAUCUUCCGCCUUUUCCAUCCUUCCAACAAUCUCCAGCCUGUCUCUGGCGACAGCGCCUUGGCGUGCUUCCUUCCCUUCUGCUGCAAGGGGUCUGCGCACGGUUCAGGGUCCCCCAGCGCGCCUCUGCUCUCCCUGUAUCUUUUGGUUCUUCUGUUGCACUUGCACUGACGCAUUCCGUCUCGAUGCUUGCGAUCAAGCGCCAGCUGCUUCCCCCCCCCCCCCCCCCCCUGCCCGCCAGCAGAGCCGCCUCCCCUCCCCUCUUCUUUCCCUUCACAUCCCCGCGGUGUUCAAUACCACCCCCUUUUGUUUUGUCUCGACUGCGGCGCCUCCACUGAGCGUUUCUGUCUACGCAAUGUUUUGCUUCGCCUUGAGACUCUCCUGUGUGGUCUCCCUGCUUUCUUUCUCCGUUUUUCGCGUUUGAGGGAGAAACCGUUUCUCGUCGUUGGAGACGCACCUGCACGACGCGCUCGGAGGCGUUGUCGAGAGCAGACGUUGCCUCGUCGAAAAUCAAAAUAGAGGGCCGCCGCACCUGGAAGAACGAACAGGGGAACACACACGGUACACACACGCCAACCAACCACGAGAGAUGAAUUAGGCGAAGCGAAACACAGCGCGUGUUGGGCCCGCACUCAGCUUCGCUGGUUCGCCUUCUCUGGUGUUCGCGGCAGCUCCUCCCACGCACAGGCAAAAUCCACAGCUCUGCCGGGUUCUGCCAAGGCCCCCACCCCUUUUCUUUUUCUGUCGCAUUUUUCUCGCCACGCGUCCCCACCUAACGCCGCGCAGCGUUAUCGCCGUCCCCGAGGCGUGAGAGACCACUGAACGAAUCCCCCCCUCUCGAGCCACUCCACCGUUUUGUCUCGUGUUCUCUGUCCCCCCGUGUUCCCUUCUUUUUUUCGCUCUCGUUUGUUUCCCCUUCGCGUUUUAUUCUUACCAGAGCACGUGCAAUAGCGACGCGCUGCUUCUGGCCGCCAGAGAGCUGGGACCCCAUCGCUCCGCAGUGGGUUUGGUAUUUCUCGGCGAAGUCGCCGACGAAACCUGCCGCAUUCGCCUUCUGCGCCGCCGCUUCAAUGUCUGCAAGCGUCACGGGGCGCUUGGACCCGAGCGCGAUGUUCUCUUCGAUCUGUACAGCAUUUCAGGGACCCGCAAGCAGGCCUGAUUGCUCAAGCAAGCAACGCGUGAAGCCCGAAAACGACAGCGAGAGAGGCGAGAGGACAGGAUGGAGCGGAAGGCUCGGAGCGGCCCGAAACGCCCCCGCCUGCGCCGGACGCGAGAGAACACUCGAGGGGGAAUACGCGAGGCGAAGCUCCGCGGCGAACCCUGGACCACCCUGGGACAGACACGAGGUGUAAGUCUUCCGACCGCAGCGAGAGUGACGCGAAGCGACAGGAAAAGAAAGGAAACUCGGAGGCGAAAGGAGAGGACGACGAGAGAGCAGAACGCUGGUGGCACCGCCGACCACAGCUUGCGUUGACGGUGCAGAGGACGAAAACGGAGAGCAAGAAAGAAGACAGACGCCAGAGGAAUUGAGGCGACGACGAAAACCGAGAGAGACUGACCCGGCAAAAAACAGAGCCAGACGGCGUCGCCUCCUUACCGCCGAGGCAGCAGUCUUUGCCACUGGACCCCAACUUCAAAAAAACAGACAACGGGGAGAAACAUGACCGCCGUGUUUGAACGCACCGUUGCCGAGAAAAGCUUCGGCUCUUGGCUAACGACUCCAAGGCCUUCGCGGAGUGACGCCACAUUGAUGUCGUUCAGCAAGCUGCAGAAAAACAUGAACGCGGCCGCGGAGAAAGGAGAAACACGACACCGGACCUCCGAAGGUGGACGUUGAGCAACGUUUUUUCGAAUCUGUGAGCGCGUGGAAAACGCCUACCGGAGCCGCCAACCAGGGCGACAGUUUUGCCACCUGGAAUGCGCAGAUUCAAGUUUUUCAGGAUCGUCUUUUCCGGUCGAGAUGGAUAGGCAAACGUGAUGUCUUCGUAGACGAUGUCGCCGGUCAUGUUCACGUCCUUCUGUACCGCAGUGGAAACACGAAUCGCCCGAGGGGCGUCCGACCAUGCAUGCGAACCCUUCAGACAGGACGCAGCGGCUCUUCACCAGCCAACACAGAUUUCUGCUUGGCCUUUAACCGCAUGCAGACCUGCGCCGACACCGGACUGCUGCUCAAAAAGAUCCUUGCCUCACUUCCCGUCCCAGGACUCCCGCGUCUCGCCCAGGAACUCUCCCCAUCGAUAUAGACACUCAAGCAUGUAUAUACAUAUAUAAGUGUAUGUAAAUAGACGUGUGCGCUCUUAUGAUGUAUGGGCCGUAUAAAUGCAAAUAAAAAGCCAAGAUGCUGAAGGCUGCGGCGGUAUCUCUUGUGCGCAAACACCGGGGUUCUAGGAAGUUCCGGUCCCUUCUUAAGAGGGCCCUUGCAGGCGAAGCAGAGACCGUUCAAGGUCGCCUGCCGCGCAAGAGCAUCUCCACAGCUGCUUUCUCUGUGCGUAUUUCAGGCAAGGCGAGCCUCAACGGAGCUUCUCCCGAGAUCCGAAAACAUCAAGUACACUACAAAAAGGGACGGAAAAUGAAACGAAACUGAAAAUAAACAACGAAACCGGAAGCAGGUGACGGACAGGGCAGAAAAAAUAGACUGAAACAGAGUUUGGCCGAAGCCAAAGUGAGACAUCAUGCAUCCCCUAGUCGCAGCAGAUCGUCUUUCGCAGAAGAACAGACGACUGUCUACAACUUACAAGCCCACUCUCGUCCAGCGGGUCUAGCUGCGAUCGUCGGCUGAUGACUUCCAGCAGAUCCGAUGCAGCCUCGACGGCCUGGCAAUGAGAAAAAAGAAGAAAGACACAACUGCGUCGAUUUCCGAGGGUGUCGGGAAUCCCGGAAACGCAGAGAGUCGCACGCGGCUCAGGUGUCUCUACAUGGUGACACGUACGCAAGCCCGCAAAUAUACAUAUAUCUACUAGACGCGCAUUUUCGUUUAUAGAUUUUUUCAUGCAUAGUAUAUAUAUAUAUAUAUAUAUAUAAUAUAAUAUAUAUAGGUAUUUGCGAGCAGUUGGACAAUUGAUGCCUACAAAUACGUGUGUAUAUCUAUGUAUGAGGCGGAUAUGACAGUGUAUGUUCGUUUCGGUUGGAGCUUCACUUCAUGUAAUCAAACCGGUGUGUGUCCUCGACGUCCUUCC
rnacentral:lncRNA from 1 species